rnacentral:rRNA from 1 species
CAAAAGAAUACUGUAAAGAUCCUCUUCUCCGGGGGGGGUACUGCGGGAGGGUCAUUACAGUAUUCUUUUGCCAGCGCUUAAUUGCGCGGCGAAAAACCUUACACACUAUGUUUUUUUGAUUUGAAACUUUUGCUCUUGGUCUGACUUAGAAAUGAGUUGGGCCAAAGGUUUUAUACUAAAACUUCAAUUUUAUUAUUGAAUUGUUAAUUAAUUAUAUUGUCAAUUUGUUGAUUAAAUUCAAAAAUCUUCAAAACUUUCAACAACGGGUCUCUUGGUUCUCGCAUCGAUGAAGAACGCAGCGAAAUGCGAUAAGUAAUAUGAAUUGCAGAUUUUCGUGAAUCAUCGAAUCUUUGAACGCACAUUGCGCCCUAUGGUAUUCCAUAGGGCAUGCCUGUUUGAGCGUCAUUUCUCUCUCAAAUCUUCGGGUUUGGUUUUGAGUGAUACUCUUAGUCAGACUAAGCGUUGCUUGAAAUGUAUUGGCAUGAGUGGUACUAGAUAGUGCUGAACUGUUUCAAUGUAUUAGGUUUAUCCAACUCGUUGACCAGUAUAGUAUUUGUUUAUUACACAGGCUCGGCCUUACAACAACAAACAAAGUUUGACCUCAAAUCAGGUAGGGCUACCCGCUGAACUUAAGCAUAUCAUAG